AGUGAACGCUGGCGGUAGGCCUAACACAUGCAAGUCGAACGGCAGCACAGUAAGAGCUUGCUCUUACGGGUGGCGAGUGGCGGACGGGUGAGGAAUACAUCGGAAUCUACUUUUUCGUGGGGGAUAACGUAGGGAAACUUACGCUAAUACCGCAUACGACCUACGGGUGAAAGCAGGGGAUCUUCGGACCUUGCGCGAUUGAAUGAGCCGAUGUCGGAUUAGCUAGUUGGCGGGGUAAAGGCCCACCAAGGCGACGAUCCGUAGCUGGUCUGAGAGGAUGAUCAGCCACACUGGAACUGAGACACGGUCCAGACUCCUACGGGAGGCAGCAGUGGGGAAUAUUGGACAAUGGGCGCAAGCCUGAUCCAGCCAUACCGCGUGGGUGGAGAAGGCCUUCGGGUUGUAAAGCCCUUUUGUUGGGAAAGAAAAGCAGCAGGUUAAUACCCCGCUGUUCCGACGGUACCCAAAGAAUAAGCACCGGCUAACUUCGUG
rnacentral:rRNA from 1 species